UAAUUGAAGAGUUUGAUCAUGGCUCAGAUUGAACGCUGGCGGCAGGCUUAACACAUGCAAGUCGAGCGGCAGCACAGAGGAACUUGUUCCUUGGGUGGCGAGCGGCGGACGGGUGAGUAAUGCCUGGGAAAUUGCCCGGUAGAGGGGGAUAACCAUUGGAAACGAUGGCUAAUACCGCAUAACCUCGUAAGAGCAAAGCAGGGGACCUUCGGGCCUUGCGCUA
rnacentral:rRNA from 1 species